rnacentral:rRNA from 1 species
UACGUAGGGCGCAAGCGUUGUCCGGAAUUACUGGGCGUAAAGGGCUCGUAGGCGGCCAACUAAGUCAGACGUGAAAUCCCCGGGCUCAACCUGGGAACUGCAUCUGUGACUGCAUCGCUGGAGUGCGGCAGAGGGGGAUGGAAUUCCGCGUGUAGCAGUGAAAUGCGUAGAUAUGCGGAGGAACACCGAUGGCGAAGGCAAUCCCCUGGGCCUGCACUGACGCUCAUGCACGAAAGCGUGGGGAGCAAACAGG